rnacentral:rRNA from 1 species
AUUGAACGCUGGCGGCAGGCCUAACACAUGCAAGUCGAGCGGUUGAAGGGAGCUUGCUCCCUGAUUCAGCGGCGGACGGGUGAGUAAUGCCUAGGAACCUGCCUAUUAGUGGGGGACAACGUUUCGAAAGGAACGCUAAUACCGCAUACGUCCUACGGGAGAAAGCAGGGGACCUUCGGGCCUUGCGCUAAUAGAUGAGCCUAGGUCGGAUUAGCUAGUUGGUGAGGUAAUGGCUCACCAAGGCGACGAUCCGUAAUUGGUCUGAGAGGAUGAUCAGGCACACUGGAACUGAGACACGGUCCAGACUCCUACGGGAGGCAGCAGUGGGGAAUAUUGGACAAUGGGCGAAAGCCUGAUCCAGCCAUGCCGCGUGUGUGAAGAAGGUCUUCGGAUUGUAAAGCACUUUAAGUUGGGAGGAAGGGUUGUAGAUUAAUACUCUGCAAUUUUGACGUUACCGACAGAAUAAGCACCGGCUAACUCUGUGCCAGCCGCCGCCGUAAAAC